rnacentral:rRNA from 1 species
UACGUAGGUGGCAAGCGUUGUUCGGAAUUAUUGGGCGUAAAGGGCGCGUAGGCGGUUUGUUAAGUCGGUUGUGAAAGCCCGGGGCUCAACCCCGGAGGGUCGACCGAUACUGGCAAACUAGAGUACAGAAGAGGUAGCUGGAAUUCCCGGUGUAGCGGUGAAAUGCGCAGAUAUCUGGAGGAACACCGGUGGCGAAGGCGGCCCCCUGGUUGGAUACUGACGCUGAGACGCGAAAGCCAGGGGAGCAAACGGG